rnacentral:lncRNA from 10 species
GGGAGGGUUCCUAGUUGUGCAGGAUGCAGAAACUGAGGCUCAGAAGCGUUCGGCCACGUGCAUGCAUUGCCUUUCCCAUUGGUGCUCCAUCGCCAGUAAUGGAUAAGUAAUAAGUAAUAAGGUGCAUUGGAAAUUCAAAUUUCAGAAUAAGCUGACUGCCAAGAGGGCCCUCCCCCUGUCGGGAGUCCCUUAGUCCAUGGGAAAUUCACAGAGAAGGAAA